UACGUAGGUGGCAAGCGUUGUCCGGAUUUACUGGGUGUAAAGGGCGUGUAGCCGGGCUUACAAGUCAGAUGUGAAAUCCGGGGGCUCAACCCCCGAACUGCAUUUGAAACUGUAGGUCUUGAGUAUCGGAGAGGCAGGCGGAAUUCCUAGUGUAGCGGUGAAAUGCGUAGAUAUUAGGAGGAGCACCAGUGGCGAAGGCGGCCUGCUGGACGACAACUGACGGUGAGGCGCGAAAGCGUGGGGAGCAAACAGG
rnacentral:rRNA from 1 species